UGGCCAUUUUACCCGCAGCGGUUCAGCAAAAAUCUGAUCUAAGUAUAGCAUCUGUUCGAAUAUAUAAAGUAUUAUUUCUGUAUAAAAGCUCAAGAAUGUUGGAGUUUUCUUUUUUGAGAUAAAGGGCGGCUAGGCCAUGGUCCCACAUCGACUAAAAACGAAAUCCUAAGGGACUUAUGUCUGGGCCAGCUCGAAAGAUGAAAUGCAUGAGUAAUGUGCAAAGAGAAAAUGCAUGGGUAUCCCAAAGGCAAUCAAAAUGACUGGUCGCCCACUCAAAAUGAGACCUGGCUGUUGACAAAAUAAUGAGACCUGGCUGAUUGGGCACCGGGGCUAAAUAAUGAGACGGGG
rnacentral:lncRNA from 1 species